rnacentral:rRNA from 1 species
GACGAACGCUGGCGGCGUGCUUAACACAUGCAAGUCGAACGGAAAGGCCCUGCUCUUGUGGGGUUCUCGAGUGGCGAACGGGUGAGUAACACGUGAGUAACCUGCCCUUGACUUUGGGAUAUCUUCAGGAAACUGGGGCUCAUACCGGAUAGGAGCUCCUGCACCGUGGUGGGGGUUGGAAAGUUUCGGCGGUUGGGGAUGGACUCGCUGCUUAUCGGCUUGUUGGUGGAGUAGUGGCUUACCAAGGCUUUGACGGGUAGCCGGCCUGAGAGGGUGGCCGGCCACAUUGGGACUGAGAUACGGACCAGACUGCUACGGGAGGCAGCAGUGGGGAAUACUGCACAAUGGGCGGAAGCCAGAUGCAGCAGCGCCGCGUGCGGGAUGACGGCUUACGGGUUGUAAACCGAUUUCGCCUGUGCCGAAGCGUGCGUGACGGUAAUGGGUAAGGAAGCACCGGCUAACUACGUG